rnacentral:misc_RNA from 1 species
AUGUGGGGUUUUAUCAAGUCGAACAUAAAUGGUUAUGUGGUGUAACAAAGGUCAUGUGUCUAUAGGUUAAAAAGUGAUUGGUGGAAUGGGUAAAAGAUACAAUAAACUUCAAUUCUCUCCCUCUGAUUGUUUGGUGCUGCAAAGGGAUAAUUCUCUUUCUACACAGACAUACAUGUGCAUGUUUCCUUGCAUUAGUUUCCUAUGAAACUAAAUGGUUUGUUCUUUCUAAAGCCAAUCUAGUCUCACAUUUGAAAGAAUAUCUCUAUCUCCUAUUAAUGUUGAGUCUUGAGUCCAAAUUCCAAUCACUCUAUUCCAUGCUUAUUUUAUACCUGUACACAUUUCCUGUGUCAAUACAGUUACUCCAAAAUGGCCAGGAAAAACUUAUUAACUGCAUGUAUUUGUUGGAUAUCUGUUUUUAGAAUUCCUGCAGUCCUAGACUGUGAGCAUGAUGAUCAUAUUUAUAGAAAACUAAAUAAAAAUUUCGAAACCAUAAAUAACAGUGAUGCAUGUUCUCCAAUUCAUAGUUUAGUUAGCAAAACAAACUUUUGUAUAUAUUAAUUACUUUGGAGGGAGUUAACAUUCUCUUAUCAAGAAGUACAUUUGGCAGUUAAAGUGCUUGCAAAUACAAGCUGCUGAAACUUCCUCUCAUAUUUUGAUUUAACCUAAUAUUAAAAGUUGCCUGAGUUUUUUUUUUUUUUAAACAUAUG